CGCCUGACACCACGGCCUGACAGGAGCAAUGCCGCGUGACUGAUGAAGGUCUUCGGAUUGUAAAGGUCUGUUGUAAGGGAAGAAGUGCUAGAAUAGGAAAUGAUUUUAGUAUCGACCAUACCUUACCAGAAAGCCACGGCUAACUAUGUGCCAGCACNCGCGGUAAUACAA
rnacentral:rRNA from 1 species